rnacentral:rRNA from 1 species
CGCCUCUUGAUUAACUAUAAGAGGUGUAGCCUGCCCAGUGACACUAGUUCAACGGCCGCGGUAUCCUAACCGUGCGAAGGUAGCGUAAUCACUUGUUUUUUAAAUAAAGACUUGUAUGAAAGGCUUCACGAGGGCCUAACUGUCUCCUUUUUCUUAUCAGUGAAACUGAUCUCCCCGUGAAGAAGCGGGGAUUUUUUUAUAAGACGAGAAGACCCUAUGGAGCUUUAAACUUUACAACACCUGCUUCCUAUUGCUAUUUUCAGAAAACUAUACCCACAGCAACCUGUUUGUGAGCUUUCGGUUGGGGCGACCCCGGAGAACAACUUAUCCUCCGCAAUGAAUAGACACCUCUUUAGUUAAAAGUCACAUCUUAAUACACCAGAAAACUGACAUAUAUUGACCCAAAAUUUUGAUCAACGAACUAAGUUACCCUAGGGAUAACAGCGCUAUCCACUUUGAAAGUUCCUAUCGACAAGUGGGCUUACGACCUCGAUGUUGGAUCAGGGUAUCCUAGUGGUGCAGCCGCUACUAAGGGUUCGUUUGUUCAACGAUUAAAACCCU